rnacentral:rRNA from 1 species
UUACUGGCUCAGGAUGAACGCUGGCGGCGUGCCUAAUACAUGCAAGUCGUACGAGGGAAGUCCAGCUUGCUGGACGGAACGAGUGGCGAACGGGUGAGUAAUACGUAAGCAACCUGCCUGCAAGGACUGGGAUAACACCUGGAGACGGGCGCUAAUACCGGAUAGGUAACGGAGGGGCAUCCUUCUGUUAUUAAAGGUUAAAAACACAAGCAGAUGGGCUUACGGUGCAUUAGCUGGUUGGUGAGGUAACGGCCCACCAAGGCGAUGAUGCAUAGCCGGCCUGAGAGGGUGAACGGCCACAUUGGGACUGAGACACGGCCCAGACUCCUACGGGAGGCAGCAGUAGGGAAUUUUCGGCAAUGGACGCAAGUCUGACCGAGCAACGCCGCGUGAAGUGAAGAAGGUUUUCGGAUUGUAAAGCUCUGUUGUAAGGGAAGAACAGCACGGAGAGAAUCCGCGAAUGACGGUACCUUACCAGAAAGCCACGGCUAACUACGUGCCAGCAGCAGC